rnacentral:rRNA from 1 species
GAUGAACGCUGGCGGCGUGCUUAACACAUGCAAGUCGAACGAAGCACCUUGAUUCGAUUCUUCGGAUGAAGAUCUUGGUGACUGAGUGGCGGACGGGUGAGUAACGCGUGGGUAACCUGCCUCAUACAGGGGGAUAACAGUUAGAAAUGACUGCUAAUACCGCAUAAGACCACAGCACCGCAUGGUGCAGGGGUAAAAACUCCGGUGGUAUGAGAUGGACCCGCGUCUGAUUAGGUAGUUGGUGGGGUAACGGCCUACCAAGCCGACGAUCAGUAGCCGACCUGAGAGGGUGACCGGCCACAUUGGGACUGAGACACGGCCCAAGCUCCUACGGGAGGCAGCAGUGGGGAAUAUUGCACAAUGGGGGAAACCCUGAUGCAGCGACGCCGCGUGAGCGAUGAAGUAUUUCGGUAUGUAAAGCUCUAUCAGCAGGGAAGAAAAUGACGGUACCUGACUAAGAAGCACCGGCUAAAUACGUG